GUAAAUAAUUUAAUAGACAAAUGACUGAAGUAGAAUCUGCUCUUACCAAUUCAGGGAGGGGUGAAGACUCCACUGCUUCAGUUAAAGGUUUAGGUGAUUCAUUGUCUGGUUAAAACAUGCAGCCCUCUCCUGAAAAUAAAUACACAAAACAAUCAAGUAGGAGUUAACUUUCCAUGUUUUUUUAAGAAGUAAAAACAUAAGGAAAAUCUUAUUCAUCACUAACGAUGUCAAAAUUAACUUUUAGCGUCAUGCACAUCAGUUCCAGUUUUCAAGCCACAGGAGGCCAACCAUCCUGCUCCUUCCAGCAAAUUCCGCCCAGUCACUAAUUAUGAAAGAAAGGGAAAGUUUGCCAACAAAGAAAUUAAUGAAGAAGAUUCAUCACUGCCAAUUGACUUUACUACUAAGUUAAUGGGAAAAAUAUGAGCAAAGAGAGCCACCCAAGAGGAGAAGAUUGCCCAUACGUUCAACUGAGCUUUAUUCCAGAAGACACAUUUAGAAAUUUGACAUUCAAGUGGCUUAAUCGAAUGUAAAAAGCAAGGAAGUGACUGGUGAUAAAUAAAACUCAGUGUUUGCAGAAUGUA